GGUUACUGCUAUCGGUGUUCGCCUAAGCCAUGCGAGUCAUAUGUUCUUCGGAACAUGGCGUACUGCUCAGUAACACGUGGAUAACCUGCCCUUGGGUCCGGCAUAACCCCGGGAAACUGGGGAUAAUUCCGGAUAACGCACAUAUGCUGGAAUGCUUUAUGCGUCAAAUGGAUUCGUCCGCCCAAGGAUGGGUCUGCGGCCUAUCAGGUAGUAGUGGGUGUAAUGUACCUACUAGCCUACGACGGGUACGGGUUGUGAGAGCAAGAGCCCGGAGAUGGAUUCUGAGACAUGAAUCCAGGCCCUACGGGGCGCAGCAGGCGCGAAAACUUUACAAUGCGGGAAACCGUGGUAAGGGGACACCGAGUGCCAGCAUCAUAUGCUGGCUGUCCGGGUGUGUAAAAUACACCUGUUAGCAAGGGCCGGGCAAGACCGGUGCCAGCCGCCGCGGUAACACCGGCGGCCCGAGUGGUGAUCGUGAUUAUUGGGUCUAAAGGGUCCGUAGCCGGUUUGGUCAGUCCUCCGGGAAAUCUGACGGCUUAACCGUUAGGCUUUCGGGGGAUACUGCCAGACUUGGAACCGGGAGAGGUAAGAGGUACUACAGGGGUAGGAGUGAAAUCUUGUAAUCCCUGUGGGACCACCUGUGGCGAAGGCGUCUUACCAGAACGGGUUCGACGGUGAGGGACGAAAGCUGGGGGCACGAACCGGAUUAGAUACCCGGGUAGUCCCAGCCGUAAACGAUGCUCGCUAGGUGUCAGGCAUGGCGCGACCGUGUCUGGUGCCGCAGGGAAGCCGUGAAGCGAGCCACCUGGGAAGUACGGCCGCAAGGCUGAAACUUAA
rnacentral:rRNA from 1 species